UACGUAGGGGGCAAGCGUUGUCCGGAUUUAUUGGGCGUAAAGAGCGUGUAGGCGGCCAGGUAGGUCUGCUGUGAAAACUCGAGGCUUAACCUCGAGAUGUCGGCGGAAACCAUCUGGCUAGAGUCCGGAAGAGGAGAAUGGAAUUCCCGGUGUAGCGGUGAAAUGCGCAGAUAUCGGGAAGAACACCCGUGGCUAAGGCGGCUCUCUAGUACGGUACUGACGCUGAGACGCGAAAGCGUGGGGAGCGAACAGG
rnacentral:rRNA from 1 species